rnacentral:misc_RNA from 1 species
UUGUUCCAUGAUGUUUGCACAUUAUACCUUAAUUGAUGUUUGGGGGUGAAUGUACAGAUACUAGAUGAUCUCAGGAUGAAAAUUUAGAGCUAGAAGCUGGUAUUGUAGAGACAUUGACCAGCCUCUUUACUUGCGUCUUUUCAGAGUGAAGAUUAGAUAGCACUUUGUGUAAGAUCAUCCCUUCUUGGUUUAUCAUUUUGAAGAGGUCAUAUGUUGCUUUUUGUUCUCUUAAAUGUUGGAUAUAGCGGCUGAAUAUCUAACCUGUGGCCCCG